AAGUCGUAACAAGGUAACCGUAGGUGAACCUGCGGUUGGAUCAUUAUGGUAAAUGAAGUCGGAGACCGGGCGUUAAAAACUCGGUCUUUGCACUUUUGCUACCCCUUUGUGAAUGUUUAUUGUAUUUUUGGCAGCCUGACGUUAAGUAAUGGCAUGUUGUUCGGGGGGUGAUAGUAGAGUCUUUUGGCGUUCUUUUUGGACGAUGGAGGACUUUGUUAUUUUCACUCGAAUAAUGUGUUUCGUUGUUUAACGUUGAAGAUGGCCUGGGGGUUCGCCCUUAGUCCAUUGGUCUGCCAAAGUUUUUUAACUGACCUAUUAUUUUAUUACCUUUGUCGUUCAGUAUUGAAAGGACUGUUAAAAGUUCUUUUGAGCUGUCAGAAAAAUUAUUACAACUUUAGACAAUGGAUCUCUUGGCUCUC
rnacentral:misc_RNA from 1 species